ensembl:lncRNA
GGAGGAAGCUGCACUAUUUAAAAGCAGAAUGUGCAAAAAGCUGAUCUGCCUGGAGAUGAGGAGCAGAUAGGAACCGAGAUACCAGGAGGCAGAGAGAGAGUGAUGGAAGAAGGAAAUGGGAGAACUACAGUGAUAAAGACAGUAAAUGGCACACGAAAAAGGAGGUGAAGAAAUUCUGAGCCAGCAAGAAUAAAAAAAGAAGAAUAGAUGAUGAAAUGUUGGCAACUGUGAGGAAGACUGAAGGAUACACUCAAACUAGAAUUUAUGCACAGCUUCCCACAGCAACCAUUUUGUGUGCACCUACGCCUUCCCUAAGAGAAGUCCCUCAGCUGCAGGGCAGACCAGACAUUAGUUUGUGUUCACUCUCAGUUCGUUUAUCACCAUGGAACAAUGGCAGCAGUAGCAGACAAGGGGAAAAAAGAUGUUCACAGCAGAGCAGCAGACAGUUUUCAGUUUCCUGUAAAGAAGCAGUACUAAAGCUGACUACAGGAACCAACACUUCUGAAGACAACAAAUAACAUCUCAGAGCCCACCCAGAGCAAUGCCAGAAGGAACACUUCCUCUAGCACAAAUACAGUCAGCAUGCUGCCUGAGUACUGGAGGCUCUGUGUGAAACCUGCUCUAAAGAAUUUAACUAAAUGAGGUGACAAGCAAGGAUCAGUCUGAGAAUUUGGGGUUCAUCUUGAGAAAUCACUUCUCCUCAUCAGCAAAAUAUUUACUGUUAUCCAUGCUCACUUUCCAGGUCAACGUGUCUUGCUGGAAUUAAAUGACAUUGCUAUAGUUAUCUUUAUAUUAUUGCAGUGCCUACACAUGCUGGGGGCAGACAGAGACACUGAAGAUAAUUAGCACUGGAAACCUUCAGCGUGAAUGAAGAUGAUUAGUACUCAGAGCCAAGCAGCAGCUCAGUACGUCCUUGAACAAUGCUAAAAACAUGGAAAUGUUAAGAAUGAAUUGGUCAGAGCAGCUGAGCAAGUAUGAGGAAAUUGCUCUCCCCAAACCUGUGCAGAGAAGAAAACCGAGGGACAGGAUGGUGGCAGGGCAUAAAGCUGAAGGGAGGGACCUUCUCAUAUUCUAAACUAGCUUCUCUAUGUAGCUGGGAUGUGUGACAACAUUCACAUAUACCAUGGCUGCAGUUUAGUUAAGAUGCACAUAACCAAACAGGGAGGACAAAGGUUUUUUUAGCCUUUAUGUAUAAAUGUGCCUGCACAAAUAAAAGGUUAAAUAUUCAGAUUGUCUUAGCUACUGCGUAAUCUCAAGUAUAAGAAAAAUGAAACACAUGAAAAAAAAUCCGGAGUGAUGUAUCAUGAGAAAAAGUGUGUUUCAAACUAUCCAGGUUUUAAUUUAUGGGCACUUCAAAAAAUGUAUAUGGCCUCCUACUAGCAACGAAGAAAGUUCACAGCCCUGGUUAUUUCCUCAGGCCUACUUCUAUCUCACUUCAGGGCAGUCAUCUAAUGUUGCUGUCCCUCAACCAGUCUUUCUUGCAGAGAUGACCUCUUACUAGUAAAAUUGAUUACAUCACAGAAACCAAACCUGUCCUAUUUUCUCUUAUACAAUUAAGAAGUACUUGCUCUCAUAGAACUCCUCUGCUUAGUCAUAAAACAACAGGAAAAAAAAAAAAAAAAACAGGCCUCAUUUGUGCAGAUCAUCGACAAAAAUCUAGCUCAUUCCAGCCUGGCCUUCAUUUCAGUGAGGUCAGUGAACACUUGCUAAUGAAAGUCCUCUUAUCCUUUUCGGUUUGGGAAAAUGCACCACAAUAGGAAAGAUGUCAGCUAAAACAAUGUUAAAUAUGCUUUUGCUCUUACUUCAGGAAAGAAAAAAUCAUGUUUCAAACUGUUCCUGCUUGUCAGAAUUAGCACAUGAACUGCCUGAAGAGAAACAUGAAUAAAAAUACUGUUCCCCUUUUCUGUUCCCACUUGAAACUUCACUGCAACAUGGUUCAUAUAUAUAUAUAAAUGCAUAUAUGUAUAUAUUUAUAUAUAUAUAUACAUACACUCUUUCUCACAACAGAGAAGAGCCUAAAAUGCCUUCUGUUUAAAUAUUUAGGCAAUAGCAUAUUGUCAAUUCUGUGCUUACCAUUUGCUUGACUCUAGUAAGGUUGCUAUUGAAACAAACCAACUUAAUGUCUUUUACAUUGUAUUGACUCAGUGUGAAAGAACUAUGUUCAUAAAA